UCGUUAUCGUUUAUUUGAUAGUACCUUACUACAUGGAUAACCGUGGUAAUUCUAGAGCUAAUACAUGCUAAAAACCUCGACUUCGGAAGGGGUGUAUUUAUUAGAUAAAAAACCAAUGCCCUUCGGGGCUCCUUGGUGAAUCAUAAUAACUUAACGAAUCGCAUGGCCUUGCGCCGGCGAUGGUUCAUUCAAAUUUCUGCCCUAUCAACUUUCGAUGGUAGGAUAGUGGCCUACCAUGGUAUCAACGGGUAACGGGGAAUUAGGGUUCGACUCCGGAGAGGGAGCCUGAGAAACGGCUACCACAUCCAAGGAAGGCAGCAGGCGCGCAAAUUACCCAAUCCCGACACGGGGAGGUAGUGACAAUAAAUACUGAUACAGGGCUCUUUUGGGUCUUGUAAUUGGAAUGAGUACAAUUUAAAUCCCUUAACGAGGAACAAUUGGAGGGCAAGUCUGGUGCCAGCAGCCGCGGUAAUUCCAGCUCCAAUAGCGUAUAUUAAAGUUGUUGCAGUUAAAAAGCUCGUAGUUGAACCUUGGGCCUGGCUGGCCGGUCCGCCUCACCGCGUGUACUGGUCCGGCCGGGCCUUUCCUUCUGGGGAACCUCAUGCCCUUCACUGGGCGUGUUGGGGAACCAGGACUUUUACUUUGAAAAAAUUAGAGUGUUCAAAGCAGGCCUUUGCUCGAAUACAUUAGCAUGGAAUAAUAGAAUAGGACGUGUGGUUCUAUUUUGUUGGUUUCUAGGACCGCCGUAAUGAUUAAUAGGGAUAGUCGGGGGCAUCAGUAUUCAAUCGUCAGAGGUGAAAUUCUUGGAUUGAUUGAAGACUAACUACUGCGAAAGCAUUUGCCAAGGAUGUUUUCAUUAAUCAGUGAA
rnacentral:rRNA from 1 species